rnacentral:rRNA from 1 species
GUGGGGAAUCUUAGACAAUGGGCGCAAGCCUGAUCUAGCCAUGCCGCGUGAGCGAUGAAGGCCUUAGGGUUGUAAAGCUCUUUCGUGGGGGAAGAUAAUGACUGUACCCCAAGAAGAAGCCCCGGCUAACUCCGUGCCAGCAGCCGCGGUAAUACGGAGGGGGCUAGCGUUGUUCGGAAUUACUGGGCGUAAAGCGCACGUAGGCGGACUGGAAAGUCAGGGGUGAAAUCCCGGGGCUCAACCCCGGAACUGCCUUUGAAACUCCCAGUCUUGAGUUCGAGAGAGGUGAGUGGAAUUCCGAGUGUAGAGGUGAAAUGCGUAGAUAUUAGGAGGAACACCAGUGGCGAAGGCGGCUUUCUGGACUGUAACUGACACUGAGGCACGAAAGCGUGGGGAGCAAACAGGAUUAGAUACCCCGGUAGUCC